rnacentral:rRNA from 1 species
AUGAACGCUAGCUACAGGCUUAACACAUGCAAGUCGAGGGGCAGCAUGGUCUUAGCUUGCUAAGGCCGAUGGCGACCGGCGCACGGGUGAGUAACACGUAUCCAACCUGCCGUCUACUCUUGGACAGCCUUCUGAAAGGAAGAUUAAUACAAGUUGGCAUCAUGAGUCCACAUGUUCACAUGAUUAAAGGUAUUCCGGUAGACGAUGGGGAUGCGUUCCAUUAGAUAGUAGGCGGGGUAACGGCCCACCUAGUCUUCGAUGGAUAGGGGUUCUGAGAGGAAGGUCCCCCACAUUGGAACUGAGACACGGUCCAAACUCCUACGGGAGGCAGCAGUGAGGAAUAUUGGUCAAUGGGCGAGAGCCUGAACCAGCCAAGUAGCGUGAAGGAUGACUGCCCUAUGGGUUGUAAACUUCUUUUAUAAAGGAAUAAAGUCGGGUAUGGAUACCCGUUUGCAUGUACUUUAUGAAUAAGGAUCGGCUAACUCCGUGCCAGCAGCCGCGGUAAUACGGAGGAUCCGAGCGUUAUCCGGAUUUAUUGGGUUUAAAGGGAGCGUAGAUGGAUGUUUAAGUCAGUUGUGAAAGUUUGCGGCUCAACCGUAAAAUUGCAGUUGAUACUGGAUAUCUUGAGUGCAGUUGAGGCAGGCGGAAUUCGUGGUGUAGCGGUGAAAUGCUUAGAUAUCACGAAGAACUCCGAUUGCGAAGGCAGCCUGCUAAGCUGCAACUGACAUUGAGGCUCGAAAGUGUGGGUAUCAAACAGGAUUAGAUACCCUGGUAGUCCACACGGUAAACGAUGAAUACUCGCUGUUUGCGAUAUACAGCAAGCGGCCAAGCGAAAGCGUUAAGUAUUCCACCUGGGGAGUACGCCGGCAACGGUGAAACUCAAAGGAAUUGACGGGGGCCCGCACAAGCGGAGGAACAUGUGGUUUAAUUCGAUGAUACGCGAGGAACCUUACCCGGGCUUAAAUUGCAGAUGAAUUACGGUGAAAGCCGUAAGCCGCAAGGCAUCUGUGAAGGUGCUGCAUGGUUGUCGUCAGCUCGUGCCGUGAGGUGUCGGCUUAAGUGCCAUAACGAGCGCAACCCUUGUUGUCAGUUACUAACAGGUUCCGCUGAGGACUCUGACAAGACUGCCAUCGUAAGAUGUGAGGAAGGUGGGGAUGACGUCAAAUCAGCACGGCCCUUACGUCCGGGGCUACACACGUGUUACAAUGGGGGGUACAGAGGGCCGCUACCACGCGAGUGGAUGCCAAUCCCAAAAACCUCUCUCAGUUCGGACUGGAGUCUGCAACCCGACUCCACGAAGCUGGAUUCGCUAGUAAUCGCGCAUCAGCCACGGCGCGGUGAAUACGUUCCCGGGCCUUGUACACACCGCCCGUCAAGCCAUGGGAGCCGGGGGUACCUGAAGUGCGUAACCGCGAGGAGCGCCCUAGGGUAAAACUGGUGACUGGGGCU